rnacentral:lncRNA from 1 species
GCUCGGGGAGCGCUCCCGGCGCGGCUGCGGGAGCGGCAGGCUCCGGCUCCAGCGGGAGAGCAGCGCUGGAGCCGCAGGACCAAGAUGCCCGUGAAGUUUAAUCUCUCUUAAGAAGACAAACCCC